AUGUCCCACGCGUCCACUGCGGUUCCGGGCGCGCGGUCCGCGCCCACCUGACAGCUGCUCGCUCCGUGUUGUUAGCC
rnacentral:sRNA from 1 species